rfam:Phycomyces blakesleeanus NRRL 1555(-) unplaced genomic scaffold PHYBLscaffold_4, whole genome shotgun sequence.
GACGACAUGGUGAAAUGGUCAACACAUCGGCCUCCGGAGCCGAAGAUUGCGGGUUCGAGUCCCGUUGUCGUCG